GCGAGAAACCUUUGCAAUGUGCGCAAGCACGACAAGGUUAAUCCGAGUGUUUCCUGCUAAAGGAAUCUUUUGUUAGUCCUAAAAACACUAGCGAAUAAGGGGUGGGCAAGUUCUGGUGUCAGCCGCCGCGGUAAAACCAGCACCUCAAGUGGUCAGGAGGAUUAUUGGGCCUAAAGCAUCCGUAGCCUGUCCUGUAAGUUUCCGGUUAAAUCCAUUUGCUCAACAAAUGGGCUGCCGAAAAUACUGCAGGACUAGGGAGUGGGAGAGGUAGACGGUACUCGGUAGGAAGGGGUAAAAUCCUUUGAUCUAUUGAUGACCACCUGUGGCGAAGGCGAUCUACCAGAACACGUUCGACGGUGAGGGAUG
rnacentral:rRNA from 2 species